rnacentral:rRNA from 1 species
GACGAACGCUGGCGGCGUGCUUAACACAUGCAAGUCGAGCGGUAAGGCCCCUUCGGGGGUACACGAGCGGCGAACGGGUGAGUAACACGUGAGCAAUCUGCCCAUCACAUCGGGAUAACUCCGGGAAACCGAAGCUAAUACCGAAUACGACCACCUCCGGCAUCGGAUGGUGGUGGAAAGUUCCGGCGGUGAUGGAUGAGCUCGCGGCCUAUCAGCUUGUUGGUGGGGUAACGGCCCACCAAGGCUUCGACGGGUAGCCGGCCUGAGAGGGUGACCGGCCACACUGGGACUGAGACACGGCACAGACUCCUACGGGAGGCAGCAGUGGGGAAUAUUGGACAAUGGGCGAAAGCCUGAUCCAGCAACGCCGCGUGAGGGAUGACGGCCUUCGGGUUGUAAACCUCUUUCAGCAGGGACGAAGCGAAAGUGACGGUACCUGCAGAAGAAGCACCGGCCAACUACGUG